rnacentral:ribozyme from 2 species
UUUUUUUUUUUUUUUUUUUUUUUUUUUUUUUC